rfam:Beta vulgaris subsp. vulgaris Bvchr2.sca010.con0001.1, whole genome shotgun sequence.
AGCCAGCAAGCAGUUAGCCUUCUUCUACAAAGAAUGGAAGUGUGGAUGAAUCAACAUUAAUUCACUUGGGUGAGACAGAAGAGAGUGGAAUUUCGUGUGUAGGGAUGAAAUCCGCAAAUCUACGAAGGAGCGCCAAAAGCGAAGGCAGCUCUCUGGGUCCCUACCGAUGCUGGGGUGCGAAAGCAUGGGGAGAUAACAUGAUUAGAUACCCUGGCAGUCCAUAUUGUAAACGAUGAGUGUUCGCCCUUGGUCUACACGGAUCAGGGGUCCAGCUAACGCGUGAAACACUA